rnacentral:lncRNA from 1 species
GUAUCUAAUGCCCUUCGGUGGGCAGUUCAGAGAGUCUCUGGAGGGAGGCUGCCACUAGCACACAUGCUUCAGCUGAGCAUCUCUGAUGCAGGGUAAGAGUAGCAGUGAAUAAUUCACAGCACCAAGUGGAGUGCCCAGAGACAUGCCCUGUGAUGACCAGUGAAUUCACGGAGAAAGAAAAUGUGCUGCUGAGUAUUAAACAGAAAGAUCAGAGAGCUGAGUAUCACUACAGCAACAGCACUUGA